AUCCAUGUAGCCCCACGUUUCAAAGCUAUAGGCCCAUCUCACCCCCGACCGAGCCAGGGCCAGAUCCGGCUAAUUCCCGGUCGCAACCAACAUAUCCGUUCUCCUCCGCUGUGCUUCCAUAGUAGUCCUUCGGUCAUGUAUAAGCUAUUUAUGUGCAAGCUACAGAGGCCCUUGAUAACUUUUAUGAUCACUCUCUCUCUCUCAUGGAAAAUUCCGGUUCUCGUGACCAUCCAGUGCAUGACAUCAAUUAUGUUUCCCUUUGAUCGGGGGGGAGUGAAGCUUGGCGUGUCUUGUCGUCUGGUGUGGGUUAGCUCACCAUAGAUACCACACCCCACACACGAGACAAAACCUACAUGUGUGUGGAGAAGAGAGAGAG
rnacentral:lncRNA from 1 species